rnacentral:lncRNA from 1 species
AUGCGUUCGUGUAGCCGUGAGGGCGGCCUGUGCUAUAAAUGUGGUCGGGUUCCGCGGGGAGCGGUUGAUUGUUGGAUAUAUGGGCGUGGGCUCUAUUAAAAUAAUGGCUGGGGGCUGCGGCUUUGUGUGCGGGUGGGUCAUGUGACCGUCUCGGGAUGGGGAUCGCCUGGUGUGUCGGUUUUCGGUGUACUGUGGUGGUUGGUUGUUCCCCGUCUGGUGUGAUGGUUAUGUCAAGGUGGUGUAUGUGUGUCGUGCUUUGUUGCUCCUGUCUCAGGGAUGCACCAUGCUGCCCCAGCGUUGGGGCUUUUUGGAGCUCUUGCAACUUGUCCUUGCUCUCCCAAACUGUUGGCGCGUCAUCGACGUGCCGAGUGUGUGCCUUUAAUUGUGGCUUGGGCUUCGGUGGAGCGGUGCUCUCGAUCUCUCGCGGGAGGAUCUCUGCUGUGGGCUCG